rnacentral:rRNA from 1 species
GGGGGAUAUUGCGCAAUGGGGGCAACCCUGACGCAGCAACGCCGCGUGAAGGAUGAAGGUUUUCGGAUUGUAAACUUCUUUUAUUAAGGACGAAAAAUGACGGUACUUAAUGAAUAAGCUCCGGCUAACUACGUGCCAGCAGCCGCGGUAAUACGUAGGGAGCAAGCGUUGUCCGGAUUUACUGGGUGUAAAGGGUGCGUAGGCGGCUUUGCAAGUCAGAUGUGAAAUCUAUGGGCUCAACCCAUAAACUGCAUUUGAAACUGUAGAGCUUGAGUGAAGUAGAGGCAGGCGGAAUUCCCUGUGUAGCGGUGAAAUGCGUAGAGAUGGGGAGGAACACCAGUGGCGAAGGCGGCCUGCUGGGCUUUAACUGACGCUGAGGCACGAAAGCGUGGGUAGCAAACAGGAUUAGAUACCCUGGUAGUCCACGCUGUAAACGAUGAUUACUAGGUGUGGGGGGUCUGACCCCUUCCGUGCCGGAGUUAACACAAUAAGUAAUCCACCUGGGGAGUACGGCCGCAAGGUUGAAACUCAAAGGAAUUGACGGGGGCCCGCACAAGCAGUGGAGUAUGUGGUUUAAUUCGAAGCAACGCGAAGAACCUUACCAGGUCUUGACAUCCAACUAACGAAGUAGAGAUACAUUAGGUGCCCUUCGGGGAAAGUUGAGACAGGUGGUGCAUGGUUGUCGUCAGCUCGUGUCGUGAGAUGUUGGGUUAAGUCCCGCAACGAGCGCAACCCUUGCUAUUAGUUGCUACGCAAGAGCACUCUAAUAGGACUGCCGUUGACAAAACGGAGGAAGGUGGGGACGACGUCAAAUCAUCAUGCCCCUUAUGACCUGGGCUACACACGUACUACAAUGGAUGUUAACAGAGGGAAGCAAGACAGCGAUGUGGAGCAAACCCCUAAAAACAUUCUCAGUUCAGAUUGCAGGCUGCAACCCGCCUGCAUGAAGAUGGAAUUGCUAGUAAUCGCGGAUCAGCAUGCCGCGGUGAAUACGUUCCCG